AAACCCUAAAAAGGAGAAAAGGAGAGUUGUCACCAUCUCCAAAUCUACCCCAAAGUGGGUGAAAAGUGUGUUUCCGUGCCUAAGCCAUCAAAAGAUACAAACCCUAAGACGUUCUGGCCUUUAAAUAGGGCAUAAAAAUGACAUAAAACAAGUCCAAGCCCAAACAGAUCAUAAAAAAUUACAUAAAACAGGUCCAGGCCCAUCUGACAACCGCCUGGCGCCUAAUUUCACCGCCGGGCGGUUUCCCAAAAGCCUCAAAACCGCCCGGCGCCACGGUCAACCACCUGGCACUGGUCAACUGUACUCUGGUCAACUUUUCAACAUUCUGGUCAACUGGUUGACUUUUCUGGUUGACCGGUUGACUGGUUGACUUUUCUGCAUUUUGUUUAACUUUUCUGCACUCCAACCAUUUGAUAAUUCAACCAUUCUUUCAAAUCAUUCCAGAAACCUUUAUCAUUGCCGUCGGGCAGUGCGUCGACUCUUCAAAUCUUCAUUUUUCCGCUCUUUUCUUGAGUCAACGACCUAUAUCUUUAACUUCAUUCUUUACUUUUCUCAAAUUAGCUACAAAACAAUGCAAAACAAGCAUAAAAUCGNUAAAAACAGCUUUUGNCUCUCUUCAGACUCAUUUAUUGAGUUUUNCUUGAUUCUAAGCUCAUUCCGAGUAGUAAAGGGUGNAAUUUGGUCCAAANUNACAUAUGAAAAUAACUAUUUUNCAACCUUCAUCAANACCCCAAACUUAGAAUUUUGNUNGUCCUCAAGCAAAACAAAACAAAAUAACACACAAAACAAAACUUGGCUUUAUACUGUUUCAUCCAAUGCCUCAACAAUCCCAAGGUACAUGANAAAACCACUNAAUUCAAUAUCCUCAGUGAAAUCCAAAAUAAGAUGNNUGCAUGCUUUCAAUCCAGAGAUUGCACAAUAGAUGUUCUACACUAUGAAUGAUCNAUCCANUAAGCAAAAAUGUACUCAUGAAAGUUAACAAAUCNUACCAAGCAAGUGUUUCACUCAAUCCCUCAAGUGUUUAAGGUGACACUCCAUUCUNUAUUGUUCACAAGNUACAUGAAACAAAAUUGNCAGUCAUCUUAAACAAUCAACAUCUUUACAUGCAAAUGUCAUNNAAAGGANUUUUCACGNCUUGUAAUNAGGUUGGGCUAACAAGAAAAAUUNNUUUUUCUAGAAUGCAAAAUCCUUGAGUCAAGAGAGCUANCAAAAUUUUCAACAUUUAAGCACAACUNUCUCACCAAUGUCUCUUAUUCCCCGCUUCUUCCCUUUUCUUUUCUUUUUCAUUGANCUCAUCUUCAUGCUUUUNUUCUUUUCUUUUCUUUUUCUCAUGANUUUUUCUCUUUUCACAACAAUUGAGCUCAAUGNCUUUUACUUGCUUUUUCAAUUUUCCCCCGUACAACCCCAAACUUGAACCUUUUCAUCACAUACAAUUAAGCUCAUCCCAACUCAAGGUNAAAANUUUCAAAACAAGGGUUCACAUACUGUUUAAGGNUAAGGUUCCAAAAGGGUAAAAUAUUUUCAAGAACUUUGGGUGAAAAUUUGGCUAGAGAAGGGUUUNCAAAAAUGGCCUUGAUCAUANGACAUUCACAUGCAAUUCAAUCGAUCAUCAAGAUUAAGGCAAUAUCAUCCAUAUNUUCCUGUGAACAAUGCAUACAACAAUAAAAACUCUAGAGCUCAAANUCUCACNCACAUGNUUCCUCACACAAAAUUCAUUCUUACACCCUNCCUAGCAUCAUGACCACAAUCAUAAAUUCAUCACACAUCUAUUUCCUGGAUAUCAUCAUGCAUUACAACUCACUUCUCUUCCACAUCAAAUAAUNAUCAAAUAGAUCCAUCAUGCAAAUUAGUUAGCCACACAUUUUCAGAACAAGUAAUAAAGCCAAGAAUACACACCAAAAUUAAAAUUCAACCUAUUCUAGGAAUUUAA
rnacentral:lncRNA from 1 species